rnacentral:rRNA from 1 species
GACGAACGCUGGCGGCGUGCUUAACACAUGCAAGUCGAACGGAAAGGCCUGCUUUCCCUUGUGGAUUGCGGGUACUCGAGUGGCGAACGGGUGAGUAACACGUGAGUGAUCUGCCUCCAACUUGGGUAUAAGCCUGGGAAACUGGGUCUAAUUCCCGAUAGGACUGCAGGGUGGUGCCUGUGGUGGAAAACGAUUUUCUAGUGGUUGGGGAUGAGCUCGCGGCCUAUCAGCUUGUUGGUGGGGUAAUGGCCUACCAAGGCGGCGACGGGUAGCCGGCCUGCGAGGGUGGACGGCCACAUUGGGACUGAGAUACGGCCCAGACUCCUACGGGAGGCAGCAGUGGGGAAUAUUGCACAAUGGGCGGAAGCCUGAUGCAGCGACGCCGCGUGGGGGAUGACGGCCUUCGGGUUGUAAACUCCUUUCGACCGCGAGGAAGCCACCUGGUUGGAAGGGUGGUGACGGUAGUGGUAGAAGAAGCACCGGCUAACUACGUG